AGGUGUGAUGUCCAAACCCAAUGUGGACC
rnacentral:piRNA from 1 species